rnacentral:rRNA from 1 species
GGACCUUACCAAGUCUUGACAUCUGGCUGAACGAGGAAGUAAUGUUGCUUUUCCUUCGGGACAGCCAAUACAGGGGGGGCUGGGUUUUCUCCACCCCGGGUCGGGGAAUUUUGGGUUAAUUCCCCCAACAGGGCGCAACCCCUUUCUUUAUUACCCAGCGUUUCGGCCGGGCCCUCUAGAGAAACUGCCGGGGAUAACCCGGAGGAAGGUGGGGAUGACGUCAAAUCAUCAUGCCCCUUAUGAUUUGGGCUACACACGUGCUACAAUGGCGUAAACAAAGGGAAGCGACGCUGUGAAGCUGAGCAAAUCCCAAAAAUAACGUCUCGAGUUCGGAUUGUAGUCUGCAACUCGACUACAUGAAGCUGGAAUCGCUAGUAAUCGCGAAUCAAAAUGUCGCGGUGAAUACGUUCCCGGGUCUGUACCCCCCCGAA